GAUGAAGAACGUAGCGAAAUGCGAUAAGUAGUGUGAAUUGCAGAAUUCAGUGAAUCAUCGAAUCUUUGAACGCACCUUGCGCCCCUUGGUUAUUCCAAAGGGCAUGCCUGUUUGAGUAUCAUGAACACCUCGACUCUUGUGGUUUCCCACAAUGAGCUUGGACUGUGGAGGUUUUGUUGGCCCUGUGGUCAGCUCCUCUCAAAUGGAUCAGCUUACCGGUGUUUGGUGGCAUUACGGGUGUGAUAACUAUCUACGCUCGUGGUCGUCUCCAAAUAACCUCCAGUGAUGGAGGUUCGCUGGAGCUUAUAAAUGUCUCUCCCCAGUGAAGACAGCCUUUGAACGUUCGAUCUCAAAUCAGGUAGGACUACCCGCUGAACUUAAGCAUAUCAAUAAGCGGAGGA
rnacentral:misc_RNA from 1 species